UUGGCAUGGUACUUUUAAAAUUUGUUUUGUUUAGUACACUCAAACAAAUCAAUAUAUUAUGUACACAUGUUAUCACAACAUUAUUUUAUUAAUUAAAAAUGUUACUCUGUCAUUGCAUGAUUUUUAAAAUCAUGAUAGUAAUGUAGAUUAAUAAUUAAUAAAUCUUAUAUACAAGUAUAUAGAAAUGGAGUGUCAUAAUAAUCAUAACGCGGAACAUAAAAAAUUCAAGAAUCAAAUACACUCUUUUUGAAAUUAUUUCUAUGAUGAUAUAUACAGCAAUAGGAAAAAAUAUGUUUAAAAAUUUCAUUAAGUCAAUCAAAAUAGGGAUGACAAUAUUUUAUGUGAAGUAAUUAAGUUUUUGCUAUCUAAUUCUGUGGAAAAUCACAUGAAAUGAAAGAGAAAAUCGAUGAAAAAGUAGCUUAAAUUGAAUGACAUUCAUUUUUGAUGAUGACAAAAAAUUACAUUUUACUCUAUUCGAUCAACACUCAGAACUUAAAGGCGACACAGAAUAUAGUUUGAAUUUACUUUUAUUCGCAUCAUUAAGAAUGAAAUGUCUUGAUAAAAUCAUUCAAAACCUUUGAAAUGUUUGCAUGAAUAAUCAAACUUUGUUUCGACAAAUUCAGGACUAAAAGUUCUGGAAAUUUCAUUUCAACGGAACUAUUUAGUCUUUUAGCCAUUUAUUUAACGUAUUUAUAUUAAUGUAUUUUCCAAACGUCUGAUUCGAUAUAUUAAAAGAACCGCUUUUUUGUGAUUGACGUAAAACUAU